rnacentral:sRNA from 1 species
AACCAUUUUCCACAUGACGCCAAACGUAUGCAGAUAAAUGCAGAUGGUAUGAAAUGGUUGAAGGCUUUGUUAAAUGAUUUAGAGUAAUUCUUUAAGGUCUUAGUAUCAUAUGAAUAAUGCACUGUCAAUUUUUAUUUUCUUCUUUUACUGCCUUUAGAUUUCUUACCAGUCAUGGUAUUUCUGUUUGAAUGUUGCCAUUUGAAAAAUCAUCAUAUAAGCCAGGCAUGUCAAACUCAUUCAAAUGUAUGAGCCGCAUAAAAAACUUACUAUGACCUUAAAGGGCGCAGCCAAAAAUCUGUUGGAAAACAUAGCCUACUAGUUUUAUGUAAAUUAGAAACAAUACAAUAGAAUGGAUAACCUGUCACUCAGCUAAAUUUUUAUAGCCAAUUUGUUAAUUAAAAAUUACUAUGAUUACGCAUGUUUUUCGUUGUCCUGAUGUUUGACAUCUUUUCUAAGAUACAUGUUUGUUUGCCACUGACACUUUCAUCACUGAUGACAAAUUUUGAUCAGAUAAUCUCAAACUGUGAGGUGUUUUUGUAGCUUCAUUAUGGAAAAGAACUGCUCACAGAGAUAUAAGUGCUUGCAAACAUAGUAAGAAUUCUGGCUGCGAAUUUCUGCAAUUCAACCUACUGUUCAGGUCAUGGCAACAUUUGUGAAUAUCGUAAACCAUGCAGAAAUAACGGCACUUAUUCACCACUACCUCCAAUCAUGAUCGAACAUUCAACUGUGAGUGUGCUACUACGGGUUACUAUGGUGACAGGUGCAAAAAUAAAUGUCCAAAAGAUUUGUCAGCUAAGGAGCCUAAAAUAUUGGCCUGUUUACAAAUAUGAGAUCUACCUUAACUACACAAGUACCUUACAGAAGAAGGCUACUCACUUGUGUUUGGAUAUGCCUGCUAUACCAAGGCUCACAUAGACUGGAUAUUUAUAUAGCCUAAUAUUAUGUUACUGACAAUUAUCUAAGUAUUGCAUGUCCUGUACAAGCCUCUAUGACUAAGAUAAUUAAAGAUAUUCAUGAUUAUAAGAUAAAUAGAAUGCAAUGAAAAUCAAAGAUGCCAGAAUUAAAACAAGAAAAGUAGGCAACUGUAUAGUUUACUUUUCUACUGUCUAAAAUGUUUGUAGAUUCUAAAGUUAGAAAGUGUCUUUUUUUAAUGACAAAUUGCCUGUCUAUACUGUUUAGUUUAAUCUUUUUUUUUAAUAUAGUGCCUAUCACCCUAAGUGAUGGUCAAGCUCAACAGAUAUUAUUAUAAGCAGCUUUUUUUUCUGGGUAUUAUUCAACCACAGAAGCUGUGAGGGAGAUCUGAAAUCCAUUGCUUACUUGUCUAGCAGAAAGAUUUCCAUCCAUUUAGUGAUAAAAGAUAAGUGUACACAACUUUUAGUAGUCACCACAUAACACUUACAUUUUGAUGCUCAAGACAAUACUGUUCAUGAAUGGUUUAGUUUUCUUUAUACUGAGAGUGUCCAAGAAAUAUUAGGGUCAAAGGUUAAUUGGAGUUGUUGUUUUUUUAUGCUGUGACAGUGUUACAUUUCCCUUGUGUUUUUCGUAUGAGUUUAAAGACAUUAACCAUAUUUUUUUGUUUUACAAAUGUAGGACGAACAUGUUAAUAAAUUUUGUCUUUGAUUCUGAAAUUUUAAACACUUAGAGAAAAAACUUACAAUGUUUUGUUUUUUAAUUUAAAUUUACUAUUCAUUUACUUUGACUGUUGACUUUAAGUUAGAAAUUAAACAAAGAUUUCUUUGAGGUAUAUUUGUUAAUGACCAUAGGCAUUAAAGACAGUUGACACAGCUAACUGAACUUUUCAACAAGAUAAUGUCUUAAAGAAAUUAAGAGCUAAAAAAAUAUAAAAGAUUAAAUUAAAUUUUUGAGAUUACAUAUUCUUUAUGUAGAAUCUUUUCUGAACAAAGUUUACCAGUAUAGGUAUUUAGACCUAGGAACAAAUGAUAACUGUAUAUAUUUUUUAUUUGAAACAUCUGGCAUGUAUUUAACUUGUUACUAAUACUUUUUAAUAUCUGCAAUAUCAACUGUAGCUUUCUUUGAAGAGUUCUAUAUGAAAAUGUUACUUCUGAACACUGCUGAAUUACUAGAUUUUAUUCAAUUAUGUUUUGUAAAUGAAAUAUUGUACAACGGCAUAUUUGUUUGUAUUAUAGAAUUAAGGUUUUUACAGCUACAUAUUAAAAACCAUCUUAAAUUUAAUGUAGUUUCUGCACUGGAAUAGUUUUUAAAAACUUUUGGAUAAUUUAUACUAAUUUUGUUAUGUGUGUAUAUUUGUAGAAUAUGAAUAUCAUAUUAAAGGCAUUUAUUUACUUA